AUUGAACGCUGGCGGCAGGCUUAACACAUGCAAGUCGAGCGGAGAUGAGGUGCUUGCACCUUAUCUUAGCGGCGGACGGGUGAGUAAUGCUUAGGAAUCUGCCUAUUAGUGGGGGACAACAUUCCGAAAGGAAUGCUAAUGCCGCAUACGCCCUACGGGGGAAAGCAGGGGAUCUUCGGACCUUGCGCGAAUAGAUGAGCCUAAGUCGGAUUAGCUAGUUGGUGGGGUAAAGGCCUACCAAGGCGACGAUCUGUAGCGGGUCUGAGAGGAUGAUCCGCCACACUGGGACUGAGACACGGCCCAGACUCCUACGGGAGGCAGCAGUGGGGAAUAUUGGACAAUGGGCGGAAGCCUGAUCCAGCCAUGCCGCGUGUGUGAAGAAGGCCUUUUGGUUGUAAAGCACUUUAAGCGAGGAGGAGGCUACCUGGAUUAAUACUCUAGGAUAGUGGACGUUACUCGCAGAAUAAGCACCGGCUAACUCUGUGCCAGCCGCCGCGGUAAUAC
rnacentral:rRNA from 1 species